GCCGAGGUAGCCAAGUUGGACCACGGCGCCGGUCUUGAGAACCGGUGUGCUCUGCACGCAGGAGUUCAAAUCUCCUCCUCGGCGCCA
rnacentral:tRNA from 1 species